GGAAAGGCCUGCAGCUUGCUGCGGGUACUCGAGUGGCGAACGGGUGAGUAACACGUGGGUGAUCUGCCUUGCACUUCGGGAUAAGCUUGGGAAACUGGGUCUAAUACCGGAUAGGACAGCUGUUUAGUGUCAGUUGUGGAAAGUUUUUUCGGUGCAAGAUGAGCUCGCGGCCUAUCAGCUUGUUGGUGGGGUAAUGGCCUACCAAGGCGUCGACGGGUAGCCGGCCUGAGAGGGUGUACGGCCACAUUGGGACUGAGAUACGGCCCAGACUCCUACGGGAGGCAGCAGUGGGGAAUAUUGCACAAUGGGCGGAAGCCUGAUGCAGCGACGCCGCGUGGGGGAUGAAGGCCUUCGGGUUGUAAACUCCUUUCGACAGGGACGAAGCGUAAGUGACGGUACCUGUAUAAGAAGCACCGGCUAACUACGUGCCAGCAGCCGCGGUAAUACGUAGGGUGCGAGCGUUGUCCGGAAUUACUGGGCGUAAAGAGCUCGUAGGUGGUUUGUCGCGUCGUCUGUGAAAUUCCGGGGCUUAACUCCGGGCGUGCAGGCGAUACGGGCUGACUUGAGUGCUGUAGGGGAGACUGGAAUUCCUGGUGUAGCGGUGAAAUGCGCCAGAUAUCAGGAGGAACACCGAUGGCGAAGGCAGGUCUCUGGGCAGUAACUGACGCUGAGGAGCGAAAGCAUGGGUAGCGAACAGGAUUAGAUACCCUGGUAGUCCAUGCCGUAAACGGUGGGCGCUAGGUGUAGGGGGCUUCCACGUCUUCUGUGCCGUAGCUAACGCAUUAAGCGCCCCGCCUGGGGAGUACGCCGCAAGGCUA
rnacentral:rRNA from 1 species